UGGAGGAUAAAGUGUUCUGGUGUCACUCACGGACUUCAAAUCCGAGGACAGGGCGGUUGACCGUUUUGUGGGGAGUUCGAUUCUCUCAUCCUCUC
rfam:Campylobacter sp. RM18021, complete genome.